AGGCUCCAUUUUCAACUCCAGCAAAAUACGAUGACCCGUUGUUCUGAUACGCUGAGGCCACCAUAGCGACCAAUAAGCACCAAAUGGAUUUCUAGCAUUAAUUUUAGCUGGUCAAUCCCCUGGCACAAGGAUCCAGAAGAUAGAUGUCUAUAAAGAAGAAACAAAGGAAUGGAUGGAUUUGUCUCCAGCAGCAGUUCAGAAGCUGGAAGGACCAUCAUCAAGGAAUCUCAAAAGUACAUCCAUUAUGGAUUCCUAAAAUGAGUGAUAUCCCACUAGAUCACUAGAUGGUUUUUCUUUUCUCAAUCCCACUGAAAACAGAAAAUAGUAUGCCUAUCAGCCACGGGGCCGACAGCAGGCUGUCCUUGAUAAGGGAGCUCUGCUUGCGUUUCAAAAGCCUGUGUCCAGCAUGAUCUGUGUACAGCUGCAAUUCAAACUCAUUUGCUGUCAAUGUGAUGUGCCCAGAGAAGUGGCUGGCAUGCAAACAAGACGGCAAACUCUUUCUGAGACGAUUUAAAGACAUAUAGGAAGUGUUCUUCAAAUGUCCUAUAGAUUGGCUAAGUGUUUGAUGUCAGCUUUAGUUUUGAAUGUGCUGCCUCUCCUCUACUUUUAUGCCGUACUCUGAGAACCUGCCAUUGUUUUUAAUUUUAAUAUGUUUUAAAGCAGA